rnacentral:lncRNA from 10 species
CGGGCCUGGGACCCGCACCUCGGAAGCGCUCGGGGUUCGUGCGGACCCGGCAGGGCCCGGGCGCCGCCGCCGCGGCAGGGAGCACACACGCGCUCGCGCAAGCAGCUAAAUCCAUCAAAGCCCCGCGCCCGGCUCCGCGCCGGGGCUCCGCGCCCCUCCCUCGAGCUUGCCCACCCUCCAGUGCCAGCUGCAAUCCUGCGGCACCGGGUGGGGAGGGAGGAGGCCGCCGCAGAAGCGCCGCCGUCGCCGGCUCGCCUCUCUCGGGCCCCAGCGGCGGCAGCGGGCAGCGCCCAGAGCUGCUGCGCCAAAAAGGGCCAGAGAGCCGGUCCCCGCCCCCGCCCCGGCGCUCCGGCCGCUCUCCACGGUUCGGAUCCAGGGCCCCAGCCUUCCUCUCUCCAUAAAAGGAGGGGGAGUCAGUCUUUGGGGAAGGAGGGGGGCGGGUUUGGGGCACUCACCUGGCGGCUGCCACGCGCCCCCGCCCAGGAUCCGAGGCCUGGGGCAUCUGAAUGAGGACCCUCCACCCACAUUUCCACUUGGGAGCGAGCUCCAGUCGGGGAAAGGGCCUGCAGCCCGCCUCGUCCCCACCCUGGGACCCCGCGCCCCCCAGUCCCCCACUCCCGCGCCGAAGGCAGGGCCGCGCCCUGAGCCGGGAAGUCGAGGGGAUGGAAGGGAAAGGAGCCACCGGUGAGGGUCCCCCGGGUUCUGAGCCUCCCGCGUCGGGAUCCGUGGGGCGCACAGAGCGCCACCUCCGGCCGAGGCGCAGCUCAGAGCGCGAUGCGGGGGAGGAACGCGCGCGGAGGCCGAGGUCUGAGCGUGGCUAGACGGCUCCCACGCCGAGAAAGGGCGGGUGCGCCUGGGCUGGAUGGAUUUCGCCUCCCUAGACCAGGAGGGAUUGGACCCUGACUACAGGUCCAGGUGCUCGUCAGUGCCCUGCCAGGGGGUCUACGCGUCCUGGUACCGGGUCCAGCGGGGUGGCGUGCUGUGCAGACCCCGAGGCUAGACGGCCUAGGCCCCUGGAGCCCAGGAGACGCUUCCUUGGGUGAGCAGCGGAGAAUCCCGCCCGGCCCAGCCGUCACCCCCAACCCUGUCGAUUAAACCCCUGCCCCCGUCGCGGUCGCCCUCCCUCCAGACAAAGGCCGUUAAGGCGCAGCCCCGCGGGCGGUCUUUCAUCCCCAGCUAGGCCAGCUCUAGCAUUUCAAAGGCCGAAUCCGGAGAGCGCUUCGGGGGCUCUCCCCUUCCCCCAAAUAUUUGGGGAGCGACGCCUCUCCCUCCGCUCCCAGUGGGUCGCGUCUACACGCGCCCUUCCACACACCUGCAGGCCCCCUCCCCACGUCUCUCCCUUCCGUUGGCCGCAGCCCCACACCACGACCCCCGCGGUCAAGCAUGCCCUCUGGGUGGUCAGGACCAAGCGGGACCGGGACAGAACCAGGGGAGCCUUGGAAACGUGGAGGAGCCCCUUAAAGCCAGGCCUUGUCCCUCCAGGGGGAACUUGCGGCUUGGGAGGGGACACCCACUGCAUGGCUUCUGGAAAGAGCCGGACUCGCAGGGCCAGGACGCAGGCCGGACCCCGGCCUCAUUCUUCGGCCAGUUAUCCCGGAGUGGCGCGCAUCCUGUCUUCCUGGGCCUCGGACUGCUCGCGCGCAGAGGGGGCCCGAGGACACCUCUGUGGGGUUAGAGGACUCGGUAAGACGGUGUGGAAGGCAAGGAGGAAGGUCGCGUUGUAUUGGGGAUGGGGUACCCGUCCCUCCCAGCUUGAGGGAUCCUGGGGGUCCUCGCCGCCUCUGAGGGCCUAGAUGGCUGCUUCCCUCGGCUCCCCUGCCCGGCCUGGAGCUACGGGUGCGCCCAGCUAGAGUUUAGGGCCACCUGGGGACGUGCAAGGGGCGCUGGAGCGAGGCGGGGGCUGGGGCGGGGCGUGGGUGCUUCACCCGCGGGGGACGCAGAGCUUAGGCGAAAGCGGUGCAGGCAUCUCUCUAAUCGCCGGCCGCUAUUAAAAAUAAAACCGCGACCCGUCGCCAUGGCGACCACAACAACAGCGGCCGCGCGAGGGAGGCGAAAACUUGUGCAGCCGCGCGACAGCCGCCUUCUGGGGAGACUCGGGGCACGACGCACCCGGCGUGGGACUGGGACCCCCCUGCCCGGCCCCGCCACAUUCUCCGCCGGAUCCCCGGAAGACACAAGGAGACGUGGACCCCCACAGGCUUUUUUGGGGGGAUUGGGCGUUGAAACCGCAGGGCUGACUUAACCAAGAGGUCACCGACUUGGAUAAAAAACCCACGCCCGCGCGGACCCCCCUCCCCGGCCUUCGUUUCCAUUCAAACUCCCAGCGUCCUCAUUGCAGCCCCUGGGGAGGGGGACGGAGGGACGAGGUGGGUUUCAGGUGCUCGGCCCAGGAGGGGACGGUGCGACCCGGGCCCCGCCGGCGGGUUUUGCGCGCGGAGGCUGCGGCACCUGCCCCGCCCGCCCUGCCGCGAUCCUUGCAGACGGGGGCGGUCACAUGCUUCUUUCUGGCCAGGAAUCGAGUUUCACUUCCAGCCGCUAUUAGUCGGUUCACACAGUUCACUGCAAACAUUUGAUAAUGAGGCUAAAUAUACUCCCGCGUCGGAGGAGGCGUGGGCGUCCCCGCCCAGGCCCGGGAGACAGAGGCGCUGACCCCGGGACAGAGCCUGGCUUUGUGCGGGAGGCAGACGCGCCCCGCGCGCCGCCCCCGAAACAUUCGCACCCCAUGCUGAGGCGCGCGUCUGGGAGUCCGUGGGCGCCCCGAGCGACGUCGAUGGCGCCAGGUGCCAAGCUCUUUCCUUGUAUAAUUUCAUGGACACUCACGCAUCAACUCUAAGCGAAGACUUGGAGCGGGGCUCAGCACCCCAGGGGUACCUCUGCAACCUCGAAAUGAAGUUGAAAAUAGCACAGGAGCCCACUAUCACUGUGUGAACAUUUUGUGAAUGAAGACAUGUAUGAAAGGAUGUUUGGAGGCUUCAAGAAACGAAAGCCGAGAGUCUAGCUAGACCAGAGCCAUCCAGCCCAGGAGCGAUGGCCACGUGUGGCCGCUGGACACGAGAGACGUGGCCAGUCCAAACUGUGCAGUGCGGUUGAAAAAAACAUUUUGGAUAUAUGGUGUUAAAUAAACAUGAUUACAAUGACUUUCGCUGUCAGCCUCCCGGAGGCUCAUUUUGCUCCUCUGGGCCACAGCCAGCUCAGAGGGUUGCUCUAGGAAAUAUCUACACGUUCUUGAAGCACAGGUUUAUGUGCCAGGCACUGUACUAAGUGCUGGGGACACGGCGUUAAGACCAGGCCCUCACGGAGCCCUCACUCUCUGAGGAGGAACAAUAAGUCAGAGAGCGCGCGAGUGCAGCCCUUCAGGCAAAGGAUUUCAGGCCCAGGUCAGGAAGGCCUUGUCUGAGGAGUCUGAGAAGAAGUCAAUUGACAACAGCUAGAACAUCUAGGUCAGGCACUCCAGGCCGACACGACAAAGCAGGUGCAAAGGCCCCAGGGCGGGAACCAGCGUGGCUUGUUCACAGAACAAGGAGGUAGAUCGCUUGCCCUUGGGACCAAAGGAAGGCUCUGGAUUUUAUUCUAGGGGCAGUGGAAGCCGUUGGAGGGCCUCAGGCAGGAACACAAGGUGUCGUGGCAGAAAGGAAGAAGGGGCCGGGCACGGUGGCCCACACCCGUCAUCCCAGCACUUUGGGAGGGAGGCCAAGGCAGGAGGAUCGCUUCAAUCCAGGAGUUCAAGAUCAGCCUGGGCAACACAGCAAGACCCCGUCUCUACUAAAACCCUAAAACUUAGCCAGGCUUGGUGGCAUGUGCCUAAGGUCCCAGGUCCUCGGGAGACUAAGGCAGGAGGAUUGCUUAAGCCCAAGAGUUUGAGGCUGCAGUGAACUAUUAUCACACCACUGCACUCAGCCUGGGUGACAGAGUGACUCUGUCUCAAAACUAAAUAAAUAAACAAUAAUUGUG